rnacentral:tRNA from 1 species
UCCCUUCUGCUCAAAGAAAGGAGAUUCUAACUCCUACUAUUAACUCCCAAA